GAAAGCUCAGCCCACCCACCACACCCUAUAGCAGUACAGGAUUAGCUGGUUGCUGGUUACCAGGGCCAGGACCCAGUUGGUGCUGUUCAGGAAAACAUGAUGCUGUCCUGCCAGGAGAGCCCAGUACCUGCCUGCUGCUGGAAGGUCCAAAAUGAAACACACAGAUUUUUUGAUGGGAGAGACUCAUUACUAUUCAGUUUCCUGGAUUCGGUUCACCAUUCCAAAAGCUACUUUAACAAGUGGAACCAGUGCUUUCUAAGACAAAUAUGGAUAGUGAAUAUAUGCUAAAGAGAAUAUCAGAGAAGAAAAAUCCACCACGGAGAUGACCAGAAGAUUUUAUCAUGGAAACUAAUGUUUAUGCUGACACCAACAGUUUCAUUCUGCAAUAGAUAACUCUGUCUUGCUUGCUUUCAUUACUGUUGACUGAAAAUGAGGAAUGAGAGAACAUAUUUUAA